rnacentral:tRNA from 1 species
GCCUCCGUGAUGUAAUUGGAAGCACACUCGACUUGUAUUCGAGAGACCCUCGUUCGAGUCCUGGCGAGAGCA